rnacentral:rRNA from 1 species
AGAGUUUGAUCCUGGCUCAGGACGAACGCUGGCGGCGUGCUUAACACAUGCAAGUCGAACGAGAAUCUACUGAAAGAGUUUUCGGACAAUGGAUGUAGAGGAAAGUGGCGGACGGGUGAGUAACGCGUGAGGAACCUGCCUUGAAGAGGGGGACAACAGUUGGAAACGACUGCUAAUACCGCAUGAUGCAUAGGGGUCGCAUGAUCUUUAUGCCAAAGAUUUAUCGCUUCAAGAUGGCCUCGCGUCUGAUUAGCUGGUUGGCGGGGUAACGGCCCACCAAGGCGACGAUCAGUAGCCGGACUGAGAGGUUGAACGGCCACAUUGGGACUGAGAUACGGCCCAGACUCCUACGGGAGGCAGCAGUGGGGAAUAUUGGGCAAUGGGCGCAAGCCUGACCCAGCAACGCCGCGUGAAGGAAGAAGGCUUUCGGGUUGUAAACUUCUUUUACCAGGGACGAAGAAAGUGACGGUACCUGGAGAAAAAGCCACGGCUAACUACGUGCCAGCAGCCGCGGUAAUACGUAGGUGGCAAGCGUUGUCCGGAUUUACUGGGUGUAAAGGGCGUGUAGGCGGAGAAGCAAGUCAGAAGUGAAAUCCAUGGGCUUAACCCAUGAACUGCUUUUGAAACUGUUUCCCUUGAGUAUCGGAGAGGCAGGCGGAAUUCCUAGUGUAGCGGUGAAAUGCGUAGAUAUUAGGAGGAACACCAGUGGCGAAGGCGGCUUGCUGGGCUUUUACUGACGCUGAGGCUCGAAAGUGUGGGGAGCAAACAGGAUUAGAUACCCUGGUAGUCCACACUGUAAACGAUGAAUACUAGGUGUGCGGGGACUGACCCCCUGCGUGCCGCAGUAAACACAAUAAGUAUUCCACCUGGGGAGUACGAUCGCAAGGUUGAAACUCAAAGGAAUUGACGGGGGCCCGCACAAGCGGUGGAUUAUGUGGUUUAAUUCGAAGCAACGCGAAGAACCUUACCAGGGUUUGACAUCCUGCUAACGAAGUAGAGAUACAUUAGGUGCCCUUCGGGGAAAGCAGAGACAGGUGGUGCAUGGUUGUCGUCAGCUCGUGUCGUGAGAUGUUGGGUUAAGU